UAGUGAGUUUGAUCCUGGCUCAGGAUGAACGCUGGCGGUCUGCUUAACACAUGCAAGUCGAACGCAAGUAGAAAUACUUGAGUGGCAGACGGGUGAGUAACGCGUGAGAAUCUGCCUUCUGGUCGGGGACAACCACUGGAAACGGUGGCUAAUACCGGAUAUGCCUAUGGGGUGAAAGAUUAAUUGCCAGAAGAAGAGCUCGCGUCUGAUUAGCUAGUUGGUAGGGUAAAGGCCUACCAAGGCGACGAUCCUUAGCUGGUCUGAGAGGAUGAUCAGCCACACUGGGACUGAGACACGGCCAGACUCCUACGGGAGGCAGCAGUGGGGAAUUUCCGCAAUGGGCGAAAGCCUGACGGAGCAAUACCGCGUGAGGG
rnacentral:rRNA from 1 species